rnacentral:lncRNA from 1 species
GACUCGAAGGAACCGACCCCGGAGCCGGCCUCACAUCGCCUUCCGAGCUUCUUCGCGGUCGGCUGGCCGCUGCCGAGUGGCAGCGGAACGCGGGCUGCACGGCGCCCGCAGCGCGGCCCGCGGCCAGAGCAGGAGCAGGAGGAGGGCGGCGAGCGCGCAGCGCCGGGAGCGCCACUGCAGUGGGGCAGCGCGCGCGCGCCGGGCGUGCGGGGAAGGACGCCGCGCGCUCUCCGGGGCCGGCUGGGGAGGGAGCCGCCCGAGGAGCGCAGGUAAAGCGCGGCAGGAGCCUGAGUGCCGGGAACUGCGGGGAAGGACGGGACUCACGUGCAACGAAGACCGCCUGCAGCAGGCAGAGGUAAAACAAAAGUGAAUUUGACAAACAGAACAUUAUUUCCUUAUAGAGGCACAGAUUUUCAGAAACGAGGAUCUCAGAAAUGCUGGAAGUGGAGGUAGGCAAUACAAUUAACAGGUACCCUUACUAUCUUUGAUUUUGUGAGGUUCUGCGAAAUU